rnacentral:rRNA from 1 species
CUGCUGCCUCCCGUAGGAGUCUGGUCCGUGUCUCAGUACCAGUGUGGGGGACCUUCCUCUCAGAACCCCUACGCAUCGUCGCCUCGGUGGGCCGUUACCCCGCCGACUAGCUAAUGCGCCGCAUGCCCAUCCCCCGCCGGAAUCGCUUCCUUUGGCCGCAGACCCAUGCAGGUCCGCGGCGUUACGCGGUAUUAGUCGGGAUUUCUCCCGGUUAUCCCCCUGCGGGGGGCAGGUCGCAUACGUGUUACUCACCCGUGCGCCGGUCGCCGGCAGG